GUGCUUGUAGCUCAGCUGGAUAGAGCAACGGCCUUCUAAGCCGUAGGUCGUGGGUUCGAAUCCCCCCAAGCACG
rnacentral:tRNA from 1 species